rnacentral:rRNA from 1 species
CGAACGGGUGAGUAACGCGUGAGGAACCUGCCUCAAAGAGGGGGACAACAGUUGGAAACGACUGUUAAUACCGCAUAAGCCCACGGCUCGGCAUCGAGCAGAGGGAAAAGGAGUGAUCCACUUUGGGAUGGCCUCGCGUCCGAUUAGCUAGUUGGUGAGGUAACGGCCCACCAAGGCGACGAUCGGUAGCCGGACUGAGAGGUUGAACGGCCACAUUGGGACUGAGACACGGCCCAG